rnacentral:rRNA from 1 species
AUGAGGAUCGCGUCGGCGUGGCAGCUGCUCCUGCCGGCGGUGCUGUGCUGCUGCUGCUGCAUCGACGGCGCGGCCGGCCAGGGGUGGCGCUGCAGGUUCCCGGCCGUGUUCAACUUCGGCGACUCCAACUCCGACACGGGCGGCUUCUGGGCCGCCUUCCCGGCGCAGCCGCCCCCGUUCGGGGUCACCUACUUCGGCCGGCCCGCCGGACGCGCCUCCGACGGCCGCCUGGUCAUCGACUUCAUAGCUCAGGCCAUGGGGCUGCCGCUGCUGAGCCCCUACCUGCGGUCCGUCGGCUCCGACUUCCGGCACGGCGCCAACUUCGCCACGCUCGCCUCCACGGCGCUGCUGCCCAACACGUCGCUCUUCGUCACCGGCAUCAGCCCCUUCUCCCUCGCCAUCCAGCUCCGGCAGAUGAAGGAGCUCAGCAAUAGAGCGAUCGCCUCCGGUGCCACCAGUGGUAAAAAGAUCAAUCUCCUGACCAGGCAACUUCCCCCGCCCGACAUUUUCGGCAACUCUCUGUACACGAUCGACAUUGGCCAGAAUGAUUUCACCUCCAACCUAGGGUCGCAGAGCAUCGGGAGUGUCAAGCGAACUCUUCCUUCAGUUAUCAGCCAGAUCUCGUGGGCUAUACAGGACUUGCACAGCAUUGGGGCUCGCAAAUUCAUGGUGUUCAACAUGGCGCCAAUCGGGUGCUACCCGGCCUUCCUCGUGGAGCUUCCACAUAGCAGCAACGAUCUGGAUGAGUACGGCUGCAUGGCAAGUUACAAUAGCGCGGUUGUCUACUACAAUGAACUGCUGAACAACAGCUUGGCCGAGGUUAGGAAGACGCUGCAGAAUGCGUCGAUCGUGUACGUCGACAAAUACUCUGCCAUGCUCGAGCUGUUCAGGCAUCCAGAAGAUCAUGGUGGUUGGGUGAUGAUUUCAGGGCUCAAGUAUGGGACCAAGGCUUGCUGCGGAUACGGUGGUGGAGCUUACAAUUUUGACCCAGAUCUGUACUGUGGCACCAGCAAGAUUGUCAAGGGCAACAUUGCGAGUGCGACGGCCUGCGGAGACCCGCAGAACUACGUGAGCUGGGAUGGAAUCCAUGCCACAGAAGCCGCAAACAAUAUCAUAGCAUCUGCACUGAUGAGUGGCUACUACUCGUAUCCACCUUCCGAUCUUUCAAAACUUUGCCGGCCAUGA